rnacentral:rRNA from 1 species
GUCUACGGCCAUGCCACCCUGAACAUGCCUGAUCUCGGCUGAUCUUGAAAGCUAAGCAGGGUCAGGCCUGGUUAGUACUUGGAUGGGAGACCACCUAGGACUAACAGGUGCUGUAGGCA